rnacentral:rRNA from 1 species
GAUGAACGCUGGCGGCGUGCCUAAUACAUGCAAGUCGAACGGAAAGACCCUGCUCUUGCGUGGUUCUCGUUAGGCGAACGCGUGAGUAACACGCGUGUAUCCCGCCCUUGUCUUUGGGAUAACUUCAGGAAACUGGGGCUAUUAUCCCAGAGGAGCUUCUGCACCACGGUGGGGGUUGGUAAAUUACGGCGGUGGUGGAUGGACUGGCUGGUUAUCAGCUUGUUUGUGGGGUAGGUACUUACCAAGGCUUCGAAGGGUAGCCGGCCUGAGAGGGUGACCGGCCACAUUGGGACUGAGAUACGGCCCAGAAUCCUACGGGAGGCAGCAGGGGGGAGUAUUGCACAAUGGGCGGAAGCCUGAUACGGCAACGCCGCGUGCGGGAUGACGGCCUUCGGGUUGUAAACCGCUUUCGCCUGUGACGAAGCGUGAGUGACGGUAAUGGGUAAAGAAGCACCGGCUAACUACGUG